rnacentral:rRNA from 1 species
GACGAACGCUGGCGGCGUGCUUAACACAUGCAAGUCGAACGGCAAGGCACUGCUUUCGUGGGGUGCCCGAGUGGCGAUCGGGUGAGUAACACGUGAGUAACCUGCCCUUGACUUUGGGAUAACUUCAGGAAACUGGGGCUAAUACCGGAUAGGAGCUCCUGCUGCAUGGUGGGGGUUGGAAAGUUUCGGCGGUUGGGGAUGGAUUCGCGGCUUACCAGCUUGUUGGUGGGGUAGUGGCUUACCAAGGCUGUGGCGGGUAACCGGCCUGAGAGGGUGAACGGCAACAAUAGGACUGAGAUAGGGACCAGAGGGGUACGGGGGGCAACAGUGGGGAGUAUUGCACAAUGGGCCGAAGCCUGAUGCGAAAACGUUGCGGGCGGAAAGACGGCCUGCUGGUUAUAAACCGCUGUCGCCUGAGACGAAGCGGUAGUGACGGUACUGGAUAAAUAAGCACCGGCUAACUACGUG